AGUCUGGAACCAAGCCAACCAACUACCAGAUGAAUCGUGACCAUAAAACAUUUGAUUUGGAGCAACAACAAAAAAUUGGACAACGGGAAAGAAAGCAAACGUACAAGACUGUGUACAUAAAUAUUUUAAGAGUGAAGGAACUACUCAUCCCAUAAACCAUUGCAAAUGAUACCUUUCCAACGACUUCCAACCUAACGAUAGUUUAGCGCGCUUCUUCUUGAAUUAUUAUAGUGUCAUCGCGAAUAAAACAUGUUUUUCUUAAAACAGGGAUGAUGUCAUACGGACUUGUGGCUUCUACAGGAGCAUAUAUCAUCGUUUCACAAUCUGAUAGCUCGUGUUAAAAAGAAUGACCACUCAACGUCAAGCUGUCAAAACGUCAAAAAGGAUCUAUGCUGAAGCUAUGCUUCUUUAUAUAAUAGUGUGCCAGUAUGGGUGCAGUGAGUGGGUGGCAGAGACAGCGGCUGGUUCCAACAUCACAGUGAAAGUGGGGGAGAGCAUCACGUGUCCUUUCUCAGCUGAGGGCAACCAAAGCUACAGCGUUGGCCUACUUUUUAAUACAUUUACAAUAGCUAAAUGGCAUUUUCCUGAAAUAAUUUUUGUUCGAGAACAAUAUAAUGGAAGGGUCAGCAUUGGCAAUGACUCGAUAUGGCUGAACAAAUUAAGCCUAUCAGAUUCUGGCCUUUAUUGAGUUAAAAUAGAGUAUACAUCGGGAGGUUUUAAGCUACAGAAGUAUACAGACUUUCAUCUGCAGAUUUUUGAGCCCGUAUCUAAACCCAGGAUCACAGCUGAGUGCCUGGGGAGUAAUGUCAGUCUGAGCUGCUUCUGCAGUCAGGGGACUGCAGUGACUUACAGCUGGGAAAUUCUGCCCCCUUGUGGUAAUGACAGCUGUGUGCACCUGGACCAAGCGAUAGACCUCCAGUUACACUCCCUCUCUCCAUCCACAACAUACACAUGUACAGCUCAUAACCCUGUCAGCAGAGCCACCAGCGAUUCUGUUGAUCUGGAAAUGUGCUUCCCGCAACGAUCACAAGUUAGAUGGGUUCCAGCCUUGUGUGCCACAUCAGCAUUCCUCGUCUUCGGAGCACUAAUACUGCUGUACAAGAGGAAAAAGCAGAAACAGUACAAAAGUGAAACAAUGCAAGUUGAAGUUGACAAGCCAGUCAUGGAAGAGGAGCCACCGUCUGCAAGGCCUUCUGUUGAUCCAGUAUCUGUCUAUUAUAAGGACCAGAAAAAAGCGCAAUGUGUUGCCCUGUUCAAAUGAUGACUAAGAUAAAUCAUUGCUGGCAACUGAAACGAAGGAAGCGAAUUAAUUUUAUUCCCAUUUUAUUUUUCCUCCUGUGAUUUGUUUCAUUCAUCUUUGCUGUGCAACUGUGUAAAUCACUUUGAAUAAGAGUUUCUGCCUAAUGAAUCACCGAUAUUGUAAUGUAAAUCAGUGCUGUAUUGGUAUGGUGUAACUUGCCAUCCUGUAUGUGCCAUCCCAAUGUGUUAAUAUACUGUGGCAUUUUAUUUAUGAAAGAAUUUACACUUUGAAGUACUGCUAAACUGACAGAUGUGUAAUGUAGCUUGAAUCUAUGCAUAUUUGUCCAUUUAGUGAUGUUCAUUUGAUCAUUUUUAUUUUUAAUAAAUAUAAAGUGACUUCUGUUUUUUA